UACAGAGGAGCCAAGCGUUGUCCGGAUUGACUGGGCGUAAAGCGCAUGCAGGCGGAUGCGCGCGUGGGGUGUGAAAUCUGGCCGCUUAACGGCCAGGCGCCAUCCCAUACGGCGCGUCUGGAGUGAUGCAGAGGUCGAUGGAAUUGCCGGUGUAGUGGUGAAAUGCGUAGAGAUCGGCAGGAACACCCAGGGGGAAACCAGUCGACUGGGCAUCUACUGACGCUGAGGUGCGAGAGCGUGGGGAGCGAACCGG
rnacentral:rRNA from 1 species